UACGGAAGGCAGCAGUGGGGAAUAUUGCACAAUGGGCGCAAGCCUGAUGCAGCCAUGCCGCGUGUAUGAAGAAGGCCUUCGGGUUGUAAAGUACUUUCAGUCGUGAGGAAGGUGUUAAGGUUAAUAACCUUAGCAAUUGACGUUAGCGACAGAAGAAGCACCGGCUAACUCCGUGCCAGCAGCCGCGGUAAUACGGAGGGUGCGAGCGUUAAUCGGAAUUACUGGGCGUAAAGGGCACGCAGGCGGUUAAUUAAGUUGGAUGUGAAAUCCCCGGGCUUAACCUGGGAAUGGCAUUCAAGCUGGUUAGCUAGAGUCUUGUAGAGGGGGUAGAAUUCCAUGUGUAGCGGUGAAAUGCGUAGAGAUGUGGAGGAUACCGGUGGCGAAGGCGGCCCCUGGACAAAGGCUGACGCUCAUGUGCGAAAGCGUGGGGAGCAAAC
rnacentral:rRNA from 1 species